GGCUCAAUGGUCUAGUCGUAUGAUUCUUGCUUUGGGUUACCAGCGCACUGCAAGAGGCCCGUAAGUUCACCCGCUGCCUAACCAUAACUACACACUUCUAACACAACACAGCGGGUUCAAAUCCCGGUUGAGCCC